ACGAACGCUGGCGGCGUGCCUAAUACAUGCAAGUCGAGCGGAAUGAUGAAGAAGCUUGCUUCUUCUGAUUUUAGCGGCGGACGGGUGAGUAACACGUGAGCAACCUACCUUGUAGAUUGGGAUAACUCCGGGAAACCGGGGCUAAUACCGGAUAAUCCAUUUUGCUUCAUGGCGAGAUGUUAAAAGGCGGCUUCGGCUGUCACUACGAGAUGGGCCCGCGGCGCAUUAGCUAGUUGGUAGGGUAAUGGCCUACCAAGGCGACGAUGCGUAGCCGACCUGAGAGGGUGAUCGGCCACACUGGGACUGAGACACGGCCCAGACUCCUACGGGAGGCAGCAGUAGGGAAUCUUCCACAAUGGACGAAAGUCUGAUGGAGCAACGCCGCGUGAAUGAAGAAGGUUUUCGGAUCGUAAAACUCUGUUGUAAGGGAAGAACACGUACGAGAGUAACUGCUCGUACCUUGACGGUACCUUAUUAGAAAGCCACGGCUAACUACGUG
rnacentral:rRNA from 1 species